UACGAAGAAUGCAAGCGUUAUCCGGAUUCACUGGGUUUAAAGGGUGCGUAGGUGGGCUAGUAAGUCCGUGGUGAAAUCUCCAAGCUUAACUUGGAAACUGCCGUGGAUACUAUUAGUCUUGAAUAUUGAGGAGGUAAGCGGAAUAUGUCAUGUAGCGGUGAAAUGCUUAGAUAUGACAUAGAACACCGAUAGCGAAGGCAGCUUGCUACACAAUCAUUGACACUGAAACACGAAAGCGUAGGGAUCAAACAAG
rnacentral:rRNA from 1 species